UACGAGGUGGGCAAAUGUUGUUCGGAAUCACUGGGCGUAAAGGGCGCGUAGGCGGCGCGGGUAGUCAUCGGUGAAAGUUCAGGGCUCAACUCUGAAUCGGCCGGUGAUACUCCCGUGCUCGAGCACUGUAGAGGCAGGUGGAAUUCCGGGUGUAGCGGUGGAAUGCGUAGAGAUCCGGAAGAACACCGGUGGCGAAGGCGGCCUGCUGGGCAGUAGCUGACGCUGAUGCGCGACAGCGUGGGGAGCAAACAGG
rnacentral:rRNA from 1 species